AGUUUAUAUAAUAGAAUUUGUUUGUUUUGCAUCUAAAUCUAUCUGCUCGUAGUUGGAUAUAUCCAAGCAGUUUGUCUUGUUAGGAUCGUAUGUAUUAUAUUUAUGGAAAUGUCUUUCAGCCUGAAGGAUCCCAGUGCACUUAUGAAUACUUUAAUUCAUUACUGGAAUGAAUUCUCUUCCCAAUAAAUCAGGAGAAUGAAAGCACCAACUUUGCUGCUAGUGACCUGACUAGGAACUGCAACUAAUGUCUACUUCUUCACAGCACAUAGUCUCUCAGAUUUUCCGAUCACUGUCAUUGAUCAGUCAUCAGAUUUAUUGUGAAUUUGUAUCUCUUUUUGCAUCUUUGCUUCUUAGAGCUAGCAGAGCUUUCCAGAGAUUUCCCUCACCUGCUUGCCUCAUACAGCUGCCUCCUUAUGGAUGGUCUGCUUCUCCUCUUUCAUUUACAAUAUUAUCUUUCAAAAGACCAAAUAAAUGCAGCUUUG